rnacentral:rRNA from 1 species
CAGUCGCCGCGGUAAAACGAAGGGUGCAAGCGUUACUCGGAAUUACUGGGCGUAAGGCGUGCGUAGGUGGUGGUUUAAGUCCGUUGUGAAAGCCCUGGGCUCAACCUGGGAAUUGCAGUGGAUACUGGGUCACUAGAGUGUGGUAGAGGAUAGUGGAAUUUCCGGUGUAGCAGUGAAAUGCGUAGAGAUCGGAAGGAACAUCUGUGGCGAAGGCGACUAUCUGGGCCAACACUGACACUGAGGCACGAAAACGUGGGGAGCAAACAGGAUUAGAUACCCCCGUAGUCCCUGUCUCUUAUAC